rnacentral:rRNA from 1 species
AUGAAGAAAUGUACAGUUUUUAUUUAAUUCUAUUCUAAAUAUUAAUCUUUUGGUAACAAUAGAUAAUAUUAGAGAUAAAGAAUCAAGUAUAGUUUGGUGACACAGAAUCGGAGGCCCCGACUGUUUACUAAAAACACAACACAGUGCAAUCAUUAAUGUGGGAGUAUACUGUGUGAAAUUUGCCCGAUGCCAUUAAUAUAAAAGCGGUCAUGGUAAUCUGUGACUAAUUGAAAAUCUGGUUAAUAGCGGUCUUAACUAUGAGGAUCCUAAGGUAGCAAAAUAAAUUGGCCAUUAAAUGUGGUCCGGUAUCAAUAAUGUAACGAUGGCCUCACUGUCUCUACAACUUGCUCAGUGAAAUUGAAUUACGCGUGCAGAUGCGCGUUACCUCCAGGGGGACGGGAAAUUUAAAUACCUUGGAUGGUAAAUUGCGACUAGAUAAGUUUAUAUUUACAAUGUGGUGAGCUUAAGCUUAAUCCACCUAAUAAUCCAUUAUUUGAGCUCAAACAGCAUGCGUUAGAAGUAAUUUUAAAGCAUGAAGCCUGUUAAACUAGAGCUAGAUAUUUAUGAACAAUGUAAUGUGAAUUCACGUUUGAAAUGUUAAUAACAAGUAGAAAAUUUUUCCGUAAUUUUCUUAAUGGGUCGAAAUAGUUAUUAUCAUAUAGUGAAGUUCUAAGAAUAUCGUAAAUGUGUAAAUAUAAAAACUAGGUAAGCCCAAUAAUGACCAAUCAUUUUUAUUUUAUUGGAGGUUCAAUUGUGAGAUUGAAUAACCGUUAGUGGGUAGAGGAAAUUCAAAAAAGCAAAGGUCUUAUUGUAAUGAUAAGAAUAGGUUAAAUUUAACCAAUCUGAAAGGGUGCUGACUUUGAAUUAGUGUUUAUUACCUUCUAACUUAUAUUUUUUAAUAGCUAAUUUAAUCUUUUUUAGCUAAGCUUGCUCUAAUGUGAUACAGCUGCUAACAUAAUAAUUAAAGCAAAUAAAAACUAAAAAUGAUAACGAAAAAAAAAUAUGAACUUAGAUUAUACAAAACCAAGAUUAGACGUGAAAUUAAACCCCUUGGCAAGUUUACAGGGAUUAACUGAUGCCUGAAAGAAGGAAUUUUUUUGUUUCAAUUUUAACUAGUGAAACCAAUAACCUUGAGGGUAAAACCAAGAUAUAGAGUUAAACUAGAGUUUAAAAGUGACACAAAAAAAGCCACUCUGAAGGUAUUCUUCAGGAACUUAAAGAAUUUUUUCGAAUGUGGAAGUAUAGUAAUAGAUAAUAGAGAGACAAAAACUAAAAAAUAUCAUGUUACAUCUUUAUCUAAUAUUAUAGAUAAAAUUAUACCACAUUUUGAUUCUUAUCCUUGUUUAACUUCUAAAUUUCUUAAUUUUAAAGACUGGAAAGAAAUAGCUUUAAUAAUGUCGAAUAAAGACCAUUUCUUUAGCCUUAAAAAGAUUAGAGAUAUAAACUCUAAAAUGAAUAAAGCUAGAUGUUUUGAAGAUAAGUAUGAAUUCUGUAAAAAGUCUUUAGGAUUAAAUACCAAUAACGAAGUUACUUAUAGUUUACCUAGUUAUUGGUUACAAGCCUUUAUAGACGGGGAAGGUAUGUUCUAUAACUACAUCUCUGAAAAGAAAAGUAGAAAUAUAACAUAUUUAGGAGUAGAUUCUUCUUUAGAAAUAGCUCAAAAUAGUCAUGAUGUAGCAGUGUUACUUGCAAUUAAGAAAUUCUUUGGUAAAGGAUACUUAAAACCUAAAUAUAAUAUAUCUGAAUUAUCGGAAUGUAAAAAUUCUAGAUCUGUAAAUAGAUUUAUACUUAGAGAUACUGAAAAGAUAAAAGAGUUUUUUUAUAAAUACCCUUUAUUAACUAGAAAAUCUUUAGAUUUUGAAGAUUGGAAAAAAAUAGUUGAUCUAAAAAAUAUUGGGGCACAUAAGACUCCAGAAGGAUUAAAAUUAAUAAGUGAAAUUAAAGAAAAAAUGAAUUCUAAACGAGAUCAAUAAAUUUAAGUUUUAAUAAUCCCUGUGAAAUUAGUCACUAAUCAAUAUUAGGCAGAUGAUAAAUGCUUGAGCUGUAUGCGGUGAAAGUCGCACGUACAGUUCUUAGAGGUAGUUAGUGUAGUAAUUCGCUUAAAAGUUCUAU